rnacentral:rRNA from 1 species
UACGGAGGGUGCAAGCGCUAAUCGGAAUUACUGGGCGUAAAGCGCACGCAGGUGGCUGAGUCAGUCGAUUGUGAAAGCCCUGGGCUUAACCUGGGAAUUGCAGUCGAUACUACUCAGCUAGAGUAUGGGAGAGGGCAGUGGAAUUCCCGGUGUAGCGGUGAAAUGCGUAGAUAUCGGGAGGAACAUCAGUGGCGAAGGCGGCUGCCUGGCCCAAUACUGACACUCAGGUGCGACAGCGUGGGGAGCAAACAGG